GUGGGGAAUUUUGGACAAUGGGCGCAAGCCUGAUCCAGCCAUUCCGCGUGCAGGAAGAAGGCCUUCGGGUUGUAAACUGCUUUUGUACGGAACGAAACGGUCUGGGUUAAUACCCUGGGCUAAUGACGGUACCGUAAGAAUAAGCACCGGCUAACUACGUGCCAGCAGCCGCGGUAAUACGUAGGGUGCGAGCGUUAAUCGGAAUUACUGGGCGUAAAGCGUGCGCAGGCGGUUUUGUAAGACAGGCGUGAAAUCCCCGGGCUCAACCUGGGAAUUGCGCUUGUGACUGCAAGGCUGGAGUGCGGCAGAGGGGGAUGGAAUUCCGCGUGUAGCAGUGAAAUGCGUAGAUAUGCGGAGGAACACCGAUGGCGAAGGCAAUCCCCUGGGCCUGCACUGACGCUCAUGCACGAAAGCGUGGGGAGCAAACAGGAUUAGAUACCCUUGUAGUCC
rnacentral:rRNA from 1 species